rfam:Kibdelosporangium phytohabitans strain KLBMP1111, complete genome.
UCCCGCGUGGUGUCAGCGGCAGCACGACCGACUGUUAAUCGGUAAGGCCAGGUUCGAAUCCUGGCGCGGGAG